rnacentral:rRNA from 1 species
UACGAAGGGGGCUAGCGUUGCUCGGAAUCACUGGGCGUAAAGGGCGCGUAGGCGGCCAUUCAAGUCGGGGGUGAAAGCCUGUGGCUCAACCACAGAAUUGCCUUCGAUACUGUUUGGCUUGAGUUUGGUAGAGGUUGGUGGAACUGCGAGUGUGAGAAGGUGAAAUUCGUAGAUAUUCGCAAGAACACCAGUGGCGAAGGCGGCCAACUGGACCAACACUGA